CCCCCGAGCGCUGAGGCAGUCGCGGCUCUGGCGGUUGCUUCCCGCCCUGCCGGGAGCCGGGCCCCGCGCGGGGCAGCCUGGGAGCUGUGGUCCGGGCCGCGAGGCGGCGCGCGGCGGGGAUGGGGGGCGGCUCCGGGCCGCUCCGGCUCCUGCUGCUGCUGGGGGCCGCGGGCUCGGCCAGCCCCUGGGACCUGCGCUCUCUGCGCUGCAGCUUCUCGGCCGCCUGCGAGUGCGACUUCCGGCCCGACGUGCGCGGUCUGGAGUGUGACUUGGCCCUCAACCUGGUUGGGCAGCACCUGGUGAGGCAACUGGUGGUGAAAGGAGUGAGGGAGUUUUUACAAAAUCAUGAUCCUGUCAAACCUCUGGUGAUGUCCUUCCAUGGUUGGACUGGCACAGGGAAAACCUUCGUGAGCUCCAUGCUGGUCCGCUACUUGUUCCGAGAUGGGCUGCGCAGUCCAUAUGUCCAUCAGUUCUCCCCAGUAGUGCACUUUCCCCAUGCUGAACAGAUUAAGCAGUACAAGGAAAAUCUGAAGAGUUGGAUCCAGGGGAAUUUGACAAACUGUGGCCGAUCAGUGUUUCUCUUUGAUGAAAUGGAUAAGAUGCACCCAGGUCUGAUCGAUGUGAUUAUACCAUUCCUUGGACCCUCCUGGGUUGUGUAUGGAACCAACUACAGAAAAGCUAUCUUCAUUUUCAUAAGCAACGGAGGAGGUGAGCAAAUUAAUCAAAUGACGCUGGAUCUCUGGUAUGCCCGCAAGGACCGGGAAGAGAUCAGCCUGCAAGAUCUGGAAUCUGCAGUUUCAGAAGCUGUGUUUGAAAAUCCCAAUAAUGGGUUUUGGAAGUCUGGAAUCAUCGAGGAGCACCUCAUUGAUCUCCUUGUGCCCUUUCUCCCACUGAAGCAACACCACGUGAAGCAGUGUGUGGUGAAUGAACUCAUCCAGCAAGGCUUAACGGUACGGCAGGACAUCAUUCAGGCAGUUGCUGACAGCAUUCCCUACUUCCCAGAGGAGGAGAGAGCGUUCUCGUCGACAGGCUGCAAAACGGUAGCCUCUCGCAUCACCUUCUUCUCCUAACCUGAGAGAAAGAAUCUUUCUCCAAAGCAGUGCACAGUUGAGGAGCUGUUCAUCCAGCAACAUACCAACGCGUCUUCGCAAACUAAAGUCCAUCGGACUCAAUUCCAGCGCCUGCUGAUAAUCCGCCAAGGCAAAGGUGAGCUCUCCCAGCCGGAAGAGGCAGUCUGAAGUGGAGCACACAGAUUACUUUAGCAAACAGCAAGCUGAGAUCUCUCCAAGCAUAUAUAAAAUGCAACAACAUGUCUCUACAGUGCCUCCCAUCCCAAAGGCUCCAAAAGCUCUGUACAAACCGUAGACACACGGAAGCAACUGGACGAACAGUGCUGUAGGAGAGCUAGAUAUUAUUCACUGAAAUGCAGCCACCUGUAGGGUGGACUGCAACAGCAGUUCAACAGUGCUUAGAAACACCAUGUAGCAAUCAGCAAACUAUAGUGGGAUUUUAGGGAGGCAGAAUGUAGUUUCCAAUUUGGAAUUAACAAGGUGACAACCUCGACUGUUGCAAAAAGUUCCAUGGGAUCUUUCCUGGUGAUAAAUUGGAUGAAAUGGGAAUGUGAGGGCGCAACCAAAGAAGGUGCUUCCAGUAGCACAGGUGGGGAAUGAGUCCGUAAUAAUCAUUAACAGUUAGUAGUUAUGCAGCACUUCCCAUUUUCAAAGGGCUUUACAAGCAUUGACUAAUUAAUCUUCACAACCCCCAUGCAAUAGGUAUUAGUUAUGUUUAAAAGAGGAGGAAACCAGGGUGCAGAGAAGUUAAGCAACUGACUGUGCAUCCCAGAAUGAAUCAGUUACAGAAUUAGGGAUAGAAGCCCAGAGAUCUAGCUUCCAGUCCCUUACUCAGACUCCACUGCCUCCCUGGUACGGGAGAAUGGGAGGAAAGAAUGCCACCUGCAGCACCCUUCAAGGUCUCCCAUUUGAGCACUGACUAUGCUUUACUUAUGAAAUCCAACAUGAUUGCAUCCUGGGGAGGGUAGCUAUAGGCAUUGUAUAUCCCCCCUCAUGUGUGCAUCCAUACAUACACAACCACAUGAUUCCACUGCUGUCAGUACACUCACUCAUGCACUCCCUUAUCCCAAGGAACAUUUCUGGUUGUUUCUAAACAUAUGUAAGAGUUAAAUAGCUAAGCUGUGUCAGAGAGAGAGGCUAUCCCAAUGGGAUACCCUCACACAAACUCCAUUGCCACCCAAGAAGAGCCUUGCUACCUCCUCUGUUGACAUAGAGUCCCUUCUCGUUCUUCUCCCCUUUCAGGGCUUUGUUGAGGAGCAGCACAGCCUCUUCGAAGAAGCCCUGAGUAUAGCAGUGCACUGCAAAGUCGUUGUACGUGAGCAGGAGCUGCCGUUGCGCCUCCAUGGCCACAGCUCCCUCUUUUUCACAGAGCUCUGUGGCCUUGAUGUAAUCAUCAAUGGCUGAGUUGAAGUCUUUGAGCCUUCUGUGUAGAGUCCCUCUGCCACGAAGGGAGGGAGACAGGAUUAGAGCCUACUGGUUAAGGAGAAAUUAAAAUGAUAGGGGCGUUCAGACCCUGGAGCCAGCACGCACUCACUAGUGCAGACUCCCACUCCCCUUAGUGGGUCACAGAGAGCCACCUCAGUAGGGACUGGAUACAAUGGGGUCUCUACCUGAAGAUUAAGUAUCCUGCAUCAAAGGGGCUGUUCUCUAUGGCAAAGGUGAUUCUGAGCAGGGCAUCCUUCAGGUUUCCCUUCAAGGCCUUAUUCAUAGCCUGGUUCUUGGCUUUCUGUGCUCGUUUCAGCAGCCUCUGCAUUUGAACCUGAGCUUCUUUGUGCUGCGGCUCCAGCGCAAUGGCCUCCUGGAUGUCCUGGUAACACAAGAUAGCCUGGAAACAGAGGUUAGGAGAAUACUAAGAACUUGCACUCUCCUCCCUCUGUUACCGAACACUUUACAAAGGGGAACUCAGGAUCAUUAUCCCCAUUUUGCAGACAGGGAAUUUGAGACACAGAUUUGCUCAAGGCCACACACUGCAUCAAUGGCAGAGCCAACACUAGAAACCCAAAUCUCCUGGCUCCCAAUCUGGUACUUGCCCACUAGGUCAUACUGGGCAAGAGGCAGUUUCUCUGAUCUGUCUCAUUCUCUCUAUGCAUUUGCCACACCACUGGGAGCGGCUGAUAAAACAGGAAAACAGGUGGCUCAAUGGAUUCUCCAGAAUCCUGUCAUUCAGACCCUGAUUUCUAACCAAGGGCAUCAGUUGUUCCUGCAGAUGCAGGGCAAGAGGAGUCCCGUUUCUAACAGGAAAUACAAAACAGAAAUAAGAUCUCCAGUUACUAUCUCUGGUCUCCUCAGGGUUGAGGGCACCACACUUCUGCUGAGCCAAGAAACGUGUGAUCUCCCAUCAAAGAAAAGUACACUACCCACAGAGUGAGGCUCAGCUUCCAUCUCUCUGCCUGCUUUCUAUAGACCAAGGAGGGAGAAGGCUCCGAAAUGGUGUAGGAUUCCACGGCCAAACAGGAGGGGAAGAGGACAAGGAAUAUGCCUUUCUGAGGUUCAGCACAGCAGACUGGAAAUCACAGAGCUGGAGAAAGGCUUCUGCCUUCUGUACAUAGAACUCCACCUGCAAAUGCACCCAGAGACAUUCCUCAGUCCUGGAGGAUAACUUUCUUCCUUAUCCUGUUUAUCCUUUAUCUGUACACACUGAAACUAACCCUUUGAGACUCAUCACUGCAAUCCCGCACAGACAGAUUUUAAUAUACGCCAAUGACAUUCUUCAUUUGAUAAUCUUGGAAACGCAAGAACAUUACAGGCUUUGUCCUUCCCGCUGAAGGACUCCAUAUCCCCAUGCGAUGCAAGGUGGGCUUGUAACUUCAUCUAACUAUGCCUGUUCUGCAUUCCCCCUUGCCUAAUCACAUUCCUCUUACCUGUUGGGGGUUCAGGUUAAUGGCUUUGGAAUAACAAAUGACAGCUUUCUCCCACUCGCCUUGGGAGAAGAACACCUUCCCUCUCUGACAGCUGCGAUGAGAAGACAGCAUUAUGAGCUAAAGCAGAAGUACAUUUCCCCUCCCUGCAGCACAGCCUUUGUGACAGUCACAGACCCCUGGGGGCACUGGCUCAGUUUCCCUGCCUGUAAACUGGAGAUAAUAAUUGUAUCUGCAAGGGUG